rnacentral:sRNA from 1 species
UUUCAUCCAUUUGAAAUUAUAUUUAAGGAAAAGUUAAAAAAACAAAUUUGUCAGAAAUUAUACAAAUGUACAAUAAAUUAAAUUUGAAAAUAUGGCCACAAGAAAGGAAAAAGAAACACUUGUACAUUAUUUAUCAGCUUUGGUGUCCUUUGUGUGUGAUGAAAUUGCAUUGGCUGAUGUAGAAGAAAGCCAUAUCUCAUAUCUUUUUAUUUUAUGUUCUUUCUUGUCCUUUUGUUUGACCUUCUAGGUCACCAUCAGAAAAGCUAAGUUUGCUGUAUAGUGAGGAUCAGGAGAUCUGAUCCUGAUUGCAGAAUCUUCCCUGAUUACAGAAUCUUGGGUUGUAUCUCCCACUUCACCCUUCUAGACCAUCCCAGAAGAUCUAUAAGAUUUCAUCUGGGAAAUCACUAGGAGUUCUUGGAAGGGAAAGAAGGAAGAUUGUUGGUUGGAAUAAAAACAGGGUUGAAUGAGUUCCAGAAAGCAGGGUUCUCAACCUCGUGGACAGCAAUCUGCAGAAGAAGAGAACUUCAAAAAACCAACUAGAAGCAACAUGCAGAGAAGUAAAAUGAGAGGGGCCU